rnacentral:rRNA from 1 species
AUACAGAGGGUGCGAGCGUUAAUCGGAAUUACUGGGCGUAAAGCGCGCGUAUGCGGCUUGGUCAGUCGGAUGUGAAAACCCCGGGCUCAACCUGGGAAUGGCAUUCGAUACUGCCAGGCUAGAGUAUGGGAGAGGGAAGUGGAAUUUCCGGUGUAGCGGUGAAAUGCGUAGAUAUCGGAAGGAACACCAGUGGCGAAGGCGACUUCCUGGCCCAAUACUGACGCUGAGGUGCGAAAGCGUGGGGAGCGAACAGGAUUAGAAACCCCUGUAGUCC